UUUAUUUGUUCGUUUUUUCCCCCAAAUGCCAAAGAAAAGCCCUUGAAGAGAAUUCCCCAAAUCCAUAGCGAGAAAGCUUCCAUCUUCGACGAGAAUCUGCUCGCCAAUCCAAACCUCUGCGAUUUGGCGCUGUCACCGAUGAGAAGCCGCAGUCUUGCGCUGCCGAUUUUUGUGUUAAAUGCUCGUUGAAGAAUCCAAACUACUCGUCGAAAUCGACAAAGAUCUCGGUCGUGAUGUUAGCAAUUUUUGCAUUCUGACCUUGCUCCUCCCCUCUCCUCGCCGCUUUCCCAAUCGUGUCUGUGCAGCCAUUAUAGGGCUCCUAUACUUAGUCUGCUUCAGAAGUAGGAUUGGCGUCACGAUCGGGUGGUUAUGGAGCUGAUGAGAGCUUGCCACCAGGCUUUGAAGAUAUGAAGCCUAAAAUUCCCAAGUUGCCUCAAAAAACCUCAAUGGAGAUGCCUUCCACGAUCAGUAGCAGGUUGUAGACUUCAAGCAGGUUUAUGCUCAUGUUCGUCAGUUCAAAAGCAGCAGUUCAAGGUGCGCAAAGAGUGAAGAACAUGUGUGUUGCAUUCAGAAACUUCUGCAAAGAGAAGAACCUCGAUGGUUCCUUCAACAGGUUGUUGAUUCCAACAAUGAUCAUAGCUAGCAAAUUUUGUUGAGAGUGAAUUCUUAGGAGAGCAGGUAAAAUAAAUUAGUCAAGAUGACAAAUGACAAGAUUGUUGGCUCAUUCUUUGCAGCUAUUUUCACAACCAAGGUCAAACUUCAUAGCCAAGUACAACACCCUAAUAUACUAGCUAUGAUCAGCUUCUACUCUGAGCUGAGCUGCAUCGUGCAUGAGUACAUGCACAACGGUACCUUACACGAUUGCCUUAUCUCAUCAGGAAGAAGCUGGAAAAGAAAAAAAUCGGCCUCUAGCCUGGCAUGCUCGGAUACGUAUUGCAGCUGAAAUCUGCUCAACUCUAGGCUUCCUUCAUAAGGUCAAGCAUAAUCCAAUUAUCCAUGGAAACUUGAAACCCUUCAAUAUUCUCCUAGAUCGGUUUAAUGUUGCCAAAAUCUUCAGCCUAAAUGGUCAUUGGUCAUACGACAAACAUUGUAUCGUAUUAUACUAUCACAACAAUGUUGGUAAGAGAUAUGAAUGCUGUAAAGAUCGAGAAGAGCUGUCACAUAGUCGACAACAGUGAGUUACCUAUGCCUGAUGAAGAGGCUGCUGGAGUAGAGGACUCAGCAAUGUUGCUGGAGCCUUUUUCUGUCCAAUCUAUCAGGUAAUAUGCCAUCUAUCUCAGUUGCUCGACCAAUUUUGACAGAAAUCAUGCUCUAUCAUUAUCUUCGCUGCUUCUCAUUUGCAGGACGUGCUGCAGAUGAAUUUUCCUACGAAUUGGAAGCAAUAGACGAGUGGCUGAAAACAGGACAUGAUACAUCACCAUGACUAACUUAAGGUUGAAGCACAAGUCCCUAGUUCCAAAUCAGACUCUGUUGUUGGAUUCUCUGUAUUAGCUAGGAACUGAAGGUGUUAACAGUCCACUGUCACAAUACAUUAUUUUCUAUUUCUAGUGAAAAUAAUCCAUGCCUAGAAAGCAUAAAAAUUACAUGGUGCUCUCGUGAGUGAGCGUAAAGUACUUGUAUGUUACUUUGUAUUUGCAUUUAGGAUGUAAUAUUGUAAAUUUGAAUGGAAUGAAAUAUUGUAUAUUUUAAUUGUCGAAUUAGUAGUUACAUAUGCAUGUUUUUUGGGCAAUGAAUCAACUUGUGGGAGCUAAUAUGAAUCUAGGUAAAACUAGAUAUUAAAGAAUAACAAAAGAUGGACUCUAAUAGGACACUCAUUUAUUAGGACACUCCUAGUGUUACAAAAAUAUCCUAUAAUGGGACUUUCAUGAGUGUUUUAUUACAAUGAGUGUCCUAUU